UACGAAGGGGGCUAGCGUUGUUCGGAAUUACUGGGCGUAAAGCGUGCGCAGGCGGCUUCCCAAGUCAGUGGUGAAAGCCCGGAGCUCAACUCCGGAAAUGCCAUUGAAACUGUGAAGCUCGAGAACGAGAAAGGUGAGUGGAAUUCCCAGUGUAGAGGUGAAAUUCGUAGAUAUUGGGAAGAACACCAGUGGCGAAGGCGGCUCACUGGCUCGUAACUGACGCUCAUGCACGACAGCGUGGGGAUCAAACAGG
rnacentral:rRNA from 1 species